rnacentral:rRNA from 1 species
AAUGAACGCUGGCGGCAGGCCUAACACAUGCAAGUCGAACGGAGUUAUAUUGUAGCUUGCUAUGGUAUAACUUAGUGGCAGACGGGUGAGUAAUGUAUAGGAAUCUACCUAGUAGUACGGAAUAAUUGUUGGAAACGGGAACUAAUACCGUAUACGCCCUACGGGGGAAAAAUUUAUUGCUAUUAGAUGAGCCUAUAUUAGAUUAGCUAGUCGGUGGAGUAAUAGCCUACCAAGGCAAUGAUCUAUAGCUGAUCUGAGAGGAUGAUCAGCCACACUGGAACUGAGAUACGGUCCAGACUCCUACGGGAGGCAGCAGUGGGGAAUAUUGGACAAUGGGCGAAAGCCUGAUCCAGCCAUGCCGCAUGAGUGAAGAAGGCCUUUGGGUUGUAAAGCUCUUUUAGUGAGGAAGAUAAUGACGGUACUCACAGAAGAAGUCCUGGCUAACUCCGUGCCAGCAGCCGCGGUAAUACGGAGAGGGCUUGCGUUAUUCGGAAUUAUUGGGCGUAAAGGGCGCGUAGGCGGAUUAGUAAGUUAAAAGUGAAAUCCCAAGGCCUAACCUUGGAAUUGCUUUUAAAACUGCUAGUCUAGAGAUUGAAAGAGGAUAGAGGAAUUCCUAGUGUAGAGGUGAAAUUCGUAAAUAUUAGGAGGAACACCAGUGGCGAAGGCGUCUAUCUGGUUCAAAUCUGACGCUGAGGCGCGAAGGCGUG